rnacentral:rRNA from 1 species
AUGCCACAUGAACACUUGAUCAAGACGAUAAUAACUAUCUGGGCGAUUUGGACAGCGCGCCGUAAAGCUAUGCAUGAAGGAAUUCUCCGGAGUCCUCAUGCCACUAAUUCUAUCAAUAGUAUCAUCGCGAAGUUAGCAGACAUCCAGGAACCAAAACAGGAAAAGAUUCAUCAUGCGAGCUCAUCAACUAGGAGACCAAAUGCGGGGUACGUGUGGAAGGCGCCUAGUCCGGGCAUGGCGAAAAUACAUGUUGAUGGCGGUUUGUCGACGAAUGGAAACGUGGGAGCUUCAGCAGCGGUAUGCCGAGACCAUGAUGGGAAUUUUCUGGGAUCCUCGGCAAUGGUUUUCAGCGAUAUACACAACCCGACAACAUUGGAAGUACUUCCUUGCAGAGAAGCGUUAGCUCUAGCGCUUGAUCUCUCCUUAAGGUGA